GUUAAAUUAUGAUUAUCUCUAAAUUCUCCAGAAAGACAACCUUAUAUAACCACCUCCAGACACCCAAGCCAAGGGAAUUGAGAUGACAACUCUUCAUAACUAUUUCCUGCUGAAUAUGGAUAUUAAGAUAUCAUUAAAGAGCAGGGGAAGGAUAGGGAAAAUGGGGGAGUUGGUCAGGCCUUAAGAAUCCCAUGGCAACAACUGUUAUUAGUCUCUGAUGUCUGCAUUCUGAAUGGAUCCACCUGAAAAUCCAUGACAUCAGCAGUUCAAACAGGUUAGUCCACCAUGUCUGGUGAUGAAUCUCACCAAAGUUGUACAUUCUGCAAUAUACAAAUCUCAAAACAAAAUUUAAGUCUCAUCAAGAUAUCUGUGUGGGUUGCUUUCGGAUGUGCAGACUAGGUAGGAUGAAACUCUGCAAUUUGAGCAUGUGAAAUACAGUCUUUUAUGAGCCAAUUUUAAUAAUAACCAAUCAUAAGUCUUCAUUUGUGCCAUGUGAAGGAUGGCACAACGAAUGUUUACAUUUUUUGUUUGAUUCUCUUGAAUCUAGUUCUUCAGUGGGCCUCCCUCUAUCAUAGCUGAUGCAUAUAACUCUGGAAGGGAUGGAGAGUCUAAUCACCUUUUCUACAAACACAAAGUCAACGCCUCUAUCCCAAAUCGAUCAGCUUGCCCUUUAGCCAGUAACCAGGAAAACUUUUAGCUUGAUCUCUCUCUCAGAGGAGUAAUAAAACAACCACAAAACUCAAAUUCACAUUAAGCCAAAAUUCCCGUGGAGCCCACGUUCAAAGACUAUGAGUUACCUUGUAUGACUUUAAAGCUUCCUUAAAACAUUUGUUUUCAUACAAUUUCCCUAUUAUCCUAAGAGACAUUUUGCUUGCUGUAUAAACCUAUUCUCAGGCCUUUUCCUUAAUUUGUUGUGUCAGGAUAUAUAACCCAAAAAUCCCCACGGGGCCUACAUUCGAAGAAUGAGUUUUCCUGCAGACUUUAUUAGACCAUAUUUAAAGUAAAUAAAUCACACUUCUACAAAUAUCAGCCUAGAGGAAGCAGACAGUUUCAACCAAUUUGCUCUCUGCCUGGACCCAGUAUAAUUUUCCCUGUACUACUUCCGAACCACAUGCGGAAUUCCACACGUGACAUGGGCAAACUCUGUAGUUUUAUCUAGCUUUAAAAACAAAUAAACCAAACUUUAAACUUAUGUCCUAUGAUUACCUGCUUGUAGGAAGCAGGCAUCUUUAACUCUCUGUCUUUCUGCCUCGGAGCAGUCAUCUUGUCUCUUUUCACAGCAGGGGACCUCAGAGCCUGUGAACCAAGUCUGCCCUUGUGUUUGUUUAAGGUUCAGUGCUUGAGCCACCAUGUGACUCCUCCUCUCGCUGAGAAACCACCUCUCCCCUCCUUCAAGACGGGCUUCCCUGUGUGAUCAUUCUGAGAAUUCCUAAAUUAAUACUGAAUUCUCACCUCCCACGUGGAUUACCAUCUGUGGAAUAUAAUUAUUAAAAAACAAUCCAUGCUAAUGCCGGCUAUGCUCCAGUAAUGCAGUCUCCCCUCCCUUAUUGGGAGCUGUAAGUUGCAGUCUUCCCUGUUUUGGUUCACCUGCCUCUGAAAUGCUUGUAUCUUCUCAGCCACCUGCCCUCUGUCGCUAGCUGUCACAAAUCCCCAUAACCCAAGAAAGUCAAAACACCAGAGGCUUGCUAUUUAUCACUCAGAUUUAUAUCAAUAAAUUCUCAACCCCACCAAAUGCCCACACACAAAGAACUCAAAACUCAUUUGAUAUAUAUACAAGCUACACUCCUAGAUGGAGCAAAUUGCCUAUAUUAUUCUAUAGCUCUUCUAUGAUAUCCAUAGCUACCUGUAACGCUUUCAAGCCAUGUGGAUCAGGUUCAUCUUCCUCUCCGGUAAGUUGCAUCUUGUCUCUUCAUCUCUGUCCUCCUCUCUCCCUCCCUGUCCAUCUCUGUCCCCACUCUAGAACUCUCAGUCCACCUUCCUUUUCCACUGCCAAAUCACAGGGUCUAGUCUUAUCUCUUGCCUGACCUCUCCUGCAUACAGACAGCAGUCUACAAUAACAUCUCUGAGUUUUUCAUUUGAGAUAAAUAUACAGAAUGGUAUUGGCUUUAUUACUUAUUUUGAGAGGUGUUAUUACCCACCUUAAUCCCUUUGUACUGGAUUAGUUCAGUAUCCAUGAAACUGUUACACAAGUCCAUGUUCUUUGGGCUUUCCCAUUUUGUCUUCAUUAUGAAAUAUUUGAGGGUAAACAAUUAAAGAGUUACAAUGAAAAUUUUCAUUCAGUGUCACAUUUUCAGUGUUUUUCUCAGCAUAGCUUGUAAGAUUUGAACAUAAAGACUUUCACAAGUUUCUUGUUUUCAUGAUAAUUCUUUGUGUGGAGCCUCAAGUGUUGCAAAGAAUACUGCUUGGAUAAAUCACAUGUCAUUUUUUGUCGGUUGGAAACUUUUUCCCACUAUAAAUGUUCAGAUAUUUUCUUAGACCUGAAAUACAGGUAAAGACCUUUCAUCUUACAUUAUGUUUGUGAGGUUUCUCUCCAAUAUGUAAGCUUUGGUAUAUUCUUGGUAUAGAAUUUGUCUCAUUCACUUCAUUUGUAAAUUUUCUCUACUGUAUGUAUUCUCUGAUGAGUGUGAAGACUACUUUUGUGGCUAAAGAAUUUACCACAUUCACUACAUAUGUAAGGUUUCUCUUCUGUAUGAGAUCUCUGAUGAAUACUAAGACUGCAUUUGUGGGUAAAACAUUUGUCACAUUCAUCACAUUUGUAAGGUUUCUCUCCUGUAUGAUUCCUCUGAUGACUUACAAGGUAGCCUUUGUUGGUAAAGCGUUUGUCACAUUCACUACACUUGUAAGGUCUUUCUCCUGUAUGACUUCUCUGAUGAAUGCUAAGACUGCAUUUGUGGGUAAAGGAUUUUUCACAUUCGUUACAUUUGUAAGGUUUCUCUCCUGUAUGAAUUCUCUGAUGUCUUCUAAGAUUGGAUUUCUUGAUAAAAGACGUGUCACAUUCAUUACAUUUGUAAGGUUUCUCUCCUGUAUGAAGUCUCUGAUGUCUUCUAAGAUUGCAUUUCUGGGUAAAAGAUUUAAUACAUUCACUACAUUUGUAAGGUUUCUCCCCUGUAUGAAUUCUCUGAUGAAUACCAAGAUCACAUUUCUUGGUGAAGCAUUUGGCACAUUCACUACAUUUGUAAGGUUUCUUUCCACAAUUGGUUUGUUUCAGCAUGAGUUUUUGUUUAGAGUGGAAAACCUUAUCAAUUGCUGUAUCAUUGUGUUUUUUCUUUCCUAUGUGGAUUGAUUGAUUUACAUUAAUGCCAGAACACAAAUUUAAACAGUUACAGUUUUUAGAUUGGCAAGGUUCUCUGGUGUUUCCGGUUUCAUGUCUGCUUAGUUUUGAUGAUUUAAUAGAUGUAUCCUCAAGGUUAGUUUUAUAAAGUGUACAUUCAGUGGAUUUAUGAAUGAUUUUGCCAAGCUUAUGACAUUUAUAAGACUUCUCAUGGAUAUUCACAUGCUCAUCAACAAUAUGCUGUGUGUCUUGAACAUUCUCAUAUUUAUGACAUAUGUGAUGAUUCUCUGAAAAAGUGUACAGAUGACAGGGAUUAAUGGAUAAGUAAGACAAUGUUCCAUGUUUGCUGAAGUUUACUAAGGUGAAUUACUAAUUUUCAAGGAUAAAGCUUUCAAGAAAGGCCUUUCUUGUUUCACAGUCAUUACAAGGAUGAUCUAAAGACCCUGAAACCUCAUCUAUCAGAAACGACAGCGUACAGCAAUAGCCGAAUAAUUCCUAAAUACUGUACUUUGUAGAAGGUAGGAUGAAAGGGUGAUUGGAAAUUACAGAAAAGAGCUCUCUGUAGGAUUAUAUAAACAAUGUUUCUCAAUUCUCUUAUUUAUGUUUUGUAGCAGAGUAACAUUGUGUAUCUUUGGUCAGCUAGAAAUUCAUUAUGUAAUCCACACUGGCACGGGAUUCACAAUAUAAAGACCAUGCUGUGCCAGUCUUAAAUAUAGAGGCCACAUGUUGAAAAGUAAAUAAGUAACAACACAAUUAUCACAACCCCUAGCAAUUCCUCUACUUAAAAGCCUCUGC
rnacentral:lncRNA from 1 species